GGUGAUUAUCUGAUGGCUACUGUGCUCGGAUGCCAAUGGCUUCGACAUUGGAUACCUUCAAGUGGACAUUGGAUGGCGGAGGUGCUGCUCUGGCGUUUUGACACUAGAUCCGACCUAGAACGAUAGCGGCAAGAAAGUCCAAGUACCAGAGAUAUCUAGUGGAGAGCCUUCCAAUACCAAAAUCAAACACAACUCUCAGGAAACAGGAGGAUGCCUAAGAUAUGACACAAAGGUAAGAAAGUCGAAAGAGAAUUUAUCCAGAGGGAACCCC
rnacentral:lncRNA from 1 species